GAUGAACGCUGGCGGCGUGCUUAACACAUGCAAGUCGAACGGAACUCUUUGGAUCAAGGCUUCGGCCAAGUGAAUUUGAGUUUAGUGGCGGACGGGUGAGUAACGCGUGAGGAACCUGCCUUUCAGAGGGGGACAACAGUUGGAAACGACUGCUAAUACCGCAUAACGCAUAUUGAUCGCAUGGUCGAUAUGCCAAAGAUUUAUCGCUGAAAGAUGGCCUCGCGUCUGAUUAGCUAGUUGGUGAGGUAACGGCCCACCAAGGCGACGAUCAGUAGCCGGACUGAGAGGUUGAACGGCCACAUUGGGACUGAGAUACGGCCCAGACUCCUACGGGAGGCAGCAGUGGGGAAUAUUGGGCAAUGGGGGAAACCUGACCCAGCAACGCCGCGUGAAGGAAGAAGGCUUUCGGGUGUAAACUUCUUUACCAGGACGAAGACUGACGGUACCUGGAGAAAAAGCCACGGCUAACUACGUGCCAGCA
rnacentral:rRNA from 1 species